rnacentral:rRNA from 1 species
CAAGCCUGAUGCAUCCAUGCCGCGUGUAUAAAGAAGGCCCUAUGGUUGUAAAGUACUUUCAGUCGGGAGGAAGGCGUUGAUGUUAAUACCAUCUACGAUUGACGUUACCGACAGAAGAAGCACCGGCUAACUCCGUGCCACCAGCCGCGGUAAUACGGAGGGUGCAAGCGUUAAUCUGAAUUACUGGGCGUAAAGCGCACGCAGG